rnacentral:rRNA from 1 species
GACGGUACGUGCAGAAGAAGCGCCGGCUAACUACGUGCCAGCAGCCGCGGUAAUACGUAGGGCGCAAGCGUUGUCCGGAAUUAUUGGGCGUAAAGAGCUCGUAGGCGGUUUGUCGCGUCUGCUGUGAAAGCCCGGGGCUUAACCCCGGGUGUGCAGUGGGUACGGGCAGACUUGAGUGCAGUAGGGGAGACUGGAAUUCCUGGUGUAGCGGUGAAAUGCGCAGAUAUCAGGAGGAACACCGAUGGCGAAGGCAGGUCUCUGGGCUGCUACUGACGCUGAGGAGCGAAAGCAUGGGGAGCGAACAGGAUUAGAUACCCUGGUAGUCCAUGCCGUAAACGCUGGGCACUAGGUGUGGGGAACAUUCCACGUUUUCCGCGCCGUAGCUAACGCAUUAAGUGCCCCGCCUGGGGAGUACGGCCGCAAGGCUAAAACUCAAAGGAAUUGACGGGGGCCCGCACAAGCGGCGGAGCAUGCGGAUUAAUUCGAUGCAACGCGAAGAACCUUACCAAGGCUUGACAUACACCGGACCGGGCCAGAGAUGGUCUUUCCCCCUUGUGGGGCUGGUGUACAGGUGGUGCAUGGUUGUCGUCAGCUCGUGUCGUGAGAUGUUGGGUUAAGUCCCGCAACGAGCGCAACCCUCGUUCUAUGUUGCCAGCACGUGAUGGUGGGGACUCAUAGGAGACUGCCGGGGUCAACUCGGAGGAAGGUGGGGAUGACGUCAAAUCAUCAUGCCCCUUAUGUCUUGGGCUUCACGCAUGCUACAAUGGCCAGUACA